GGGGAAUAUUGGACAAUGGGCGCAAGCCUGAUCCAGCCAUGCCGCGUGAGUGAUGAAGGCCCUAGGGUUGUAAAGCUCUUUCACCGAUGAAGAUAAUGACGGUAGUCGGAGAAGAAGCCCCGGCUAACUUCGUGCCAGCAGCCGCGGUAAUACGAAGGGGGCUAGCGUUGUUCGGAAUUACUGGGCGUAAAGCGCACGUAGGCGGAUUGGUCAGUUAGGGGUGAAAUCCCAGGGCUCAACCCUGGAACUGCCUUUAAUACUGCCAGUCUAGAGUUCGAGAGAGGUGAGUGGAAUUCCGAGUGUAGAGGUGAAAUUCGUAGAUAUUCGGAGGAACACCAGUGGCGAAGGCGGCUCACUGGCUCGAUACUGACGCUGAGGUGCGAAAGCGUGGGGAGCAAAC
rnacentral:rRNA from 1 species